rnacentral:tRNA from 1 species
ACUUCUUUAGUAUAUCAAGUACAACUGACUUCCAAUCAGUUAGCUUCAGUUCAACCUGAAAAGAAGUA